rnacentral:rRNA from 1 species
GUGGGGAAUAUUCCGCAAUGGACGAAAGUCUGACGGAGCGACGCCGCGUGAGUGAAGAAGGCCUUCGGGUCGUAAAGCUCUGUCAUCAGGGACGAACGGCCGGUGGAGUGGAAAGCCACCGGAUUGACGGUACCUGAGAAGGAAGCCACGGCUAACUACGUGCCAGCAGCCGCGGUAAUACGUAGGUGGCAAGCGUUGUCCGGAAUUAUUGGGCGUAAAGCGCGCGCAGGUGGGAUCUUAAGUCCAUUGUUAAAGUUCGGAGCUCAACUCCGUGAUGGGAUGGAAACUGGGAUUCUUGAGUACCGGAGAGGAAAGCGGAAUUCCCCGUGUAGCGGUGAAAUGCGUAGAUAUGGGGAGGAACACCAGUGGCGAAGGCGGCUUUCUGGACGGUGUCUGACACUGAGGCGCGAAAGCCAGGGGAGCGAACGGGAUUAGAAACCCGUGUAGUCC